CUCCCCUGCUCUGGAAAAUUUAUCUUUACGAAAAUUUAUCUUGUUGUUUAUUCUACAUUAUAAGUACCCAAACUGUUUAUUUCAGUGACAUUUUUUAUAAAUAUAGAUUGUUUGCUGGUUAAACAAUCUAUAUUUAUCAAAAAGUUCAUGAAAUGAACGGAUUUGUGAAAUUGAGAGCCGUUUCAAAAUUUCUACUUUUUUAUGCAUCCCGCUGUAAUGCACACUGGAUAAGGGUGUUAUUUUGAAGGAUUAACCGCUAUAUAUCGACAUAUUCAAUAUGCUAUUUGAAGCCAGGGUUGGGCAAAAUCAACGAGUAAAAACGUUGCAAAAGCAUACUUAGAUAUACAAUAACAGCAAAUCAUUAUACGAUUUAUUAUGCGAAUAACUAAUGAAUAUAGUAAAAACUAAACACUGUUCCAGAACACCGUAUGCACUCCAUUUCAUAUCGUUCCAGAACAGCGUUCCCGAAAUGUUCUACUAGAACAGUGAAUGGAGCAGCCUCCGUGUGACGAGUAUAAAACAUUUUCCAG